rnacentral:rRNA from 1 species
GACAGAGGGUGCAAACGUUGCUCGGAAUCACUGGGCGUAAAGGGCGUGUAGGCGGGAAGGAAAGUCGGGCGUGAAAUCCCUGGGCUCAACCCCAGGAAACUGCACUCGAAAACUUUCCUUUUUCUUGAGUGCCGGAGAGGAAAGCGGAAUACCUGGUGUAGAGGUGAAAUUCGUAGAUAUCAGGUGGAACACCAGUGGCGAAGGCGGCUUUCUGGACGGUAACUGACGCUGGAGACGCGAAAAGCCGUUGGGGGAGCGAACAGG